UCAUAUGAUGACAUACAACACUUAAUAUACAAUAUUUCUGGUACCUCUUAUGUCAGAAGGGAUUGGCUGCAAAGCUGGUUUCUUCGAUGAUCUAAAUGGACUUCUGAAU
rnacentral:snoRNA from 1 species